rnacentral:lncRNA from 1 species
UUUAAGCCUUUGAAGGCUUGCGAAUACGAUAUGGGUGGAAUCUGCAUCCCGAUGAAAAUAUGUAGUUGCAAAAUGGGGAGCCACCUAAUCUUUCGACAGAUUCCAAAUAUGGCAUCCAGGUGAACCUCCUUUCUCAACUUCCUCACUGAAUCCCUAUUCAAACCUGACGCAAUGGUCCUUCUUGCCAGGUUUCAAACUCACGGCUAAAUUUUCCUGUUGCUAGCGGUUUUUUUAAUGCGGAUCUCACAUUUUCGCUAGUUGCAAUAAGGAUGUUAACAUGAGGAAUUCGACGGUUUCCUCAUUUUCAAGCAUCUAGCUCGAUCAUUCUUACUCCUUCC